rnacentral:lncRNA from 1 species
CUCUGUUUACUCUGUUGGCAGUUUAUUUUGCUGUGCAAAAGCUCUUUACUUUAAUAAGGUCCCAUUAAUUAAUUUUUGUUUUUAUUGCAUUUGCUUUCGGCAUCCUCAUCAUGAAAUAUUUGCUAGGACCUGUAUCCAGAAUGGCAUUUCCUAGCUUUUCUUCUAGAGUUUUUAUAUUUUUAGGUUUUACAUUUAGGUAUUUAAUCCACCUUUAAGUUGAUUUUUGUAUAUGGUGUAAGGAAGGGGUCCAGUUUCAAUCUUUUACAUAUGACUAGCCAGUUAACUCAGCAUUAAUUAUUGAAUAGGGAGACCUUUCCUCCUUGUUUGUUUUUGUUGAUUUUGUUGAAGAUCAGAUGGUUAUAGGUGUGUAGCAUGAUCUCUGGGCUCUCUAUUCUGUUGCAUUGGUCUAGGUGUCUGUUUUUGUACUAGUACCAUGCUAUAUUCAUUACUGUAGCCUUGUAAUAUAGUUUAAAGUUGAGUAAUGUGAUGCCACCAGCUUUUUUCUUUUUGCUUACGAUUACUUUGGCUGUUAGGGCUUUUGUUGUUGUUGUUGUUGUUGUUCCAAAUGAAUUUUAGAAUAGUUCAUUCUAAUUCUGUGAAAAAUGUUGGUAGUUUGAUAGGAAUAGCAUGUAACCUAUAAAUUGCUUUGGACAGUGUUGCCAUUUUAACAAAAUGUAUUCUUUCCAUUCAUGAGCAUGGGAUAUUUCUCCAUUUGUGAGUGUCAUUUCUAAUUUCUUCCAGCAGUGUUUUGUAAUUCUCAUUAUACAGAUCUUUCGCUUUCUUGGUUAGCUAUAUUUGUAGUAUUUUAUUCAUUUUGGGGCUAUUGUGGAUGGGAUUGCAUUCUUGAUUUGGCUCUCAGCUUGGUUAUUAUUGGUGUAUGGGAAUGCUACUGAUUUUUGCACAUUUACUUUGUAUCCUGAGACUUUGCUGAAGUUGUUUUAUCAGAUCUAGGAGCUUUGGGGCAGAGAUUAUAGGGUUUCCUAAGUAUAAAAUUAUAUUGUCUGCUAACAGAGAUAGUUUUGCUUCUUCUCUGGUUGUUUGGAUGCCUUUUCUUUCUUUCUCUUGCUUCAUUACUCUGGAUAGGACUUCCAGUACUAUGUUGAAUAGGAGUGGUGAGAGUAAGUAUCCUUUUCUAAUUCCAGUUUUCAAGAGGAAUGUUUCCAGCUUUUUCCCAUUCAGUACGAUAUUGGCUGUGGGACUGUCAUAGAUGGCCCUUAUUAUUUUGAGGUAUGUUUCUUCAAUGCCUAAUUUGUUGAGGGUUUUUAUCAUGAUGGGUAGUUGAAAUUUAUCAAAAGUAUUUCUGCAUCUAUGGAGUUGAUUAUGUGGUUUUUUAGUUUAGUUCUGUUUAUGUGAUGAAUCACAUAUAUGGAUUUGCAUAUGUUGAAUCAAACUUGCAUCCCAGGGACAAAGCCUACUUGAUCUUGGUGGGUUAGCUUUAUGAUGUGCUGCUGGAUUUGGUUUGUUAGCAUUUUGCUAAGGAUUUUUGCAUUUAUAUUCAUCAAGAGUAUUGAACUGAAGUUUUAUUUUUUAGUUGUGUCUCUGCCAGAUUUUGGUAUCAGGCUGACACUGGCCUCAUAAAAUGAGUUAAGGAGAAGUCCCUUUUUCUCAAUAUUUUGAAAUAUUUUCAGUAGGAUUGGUACCAGCUCUUCAUAAAUCUGGUAGAAUUUGGCUGUGAAUCUCUCUUGUACAGGGCUUUUCCUGGAUGGUAGAAUUUUGUUACUGAUUCAAUUUUGGAACUCAUUCAUCUGUUCAGGGUUUCACUUUUUUUCCUGGUUCAGUCUUGGGAAGUUGUAUGUUUCCAGAAUUUAUGAAUUUCUUGUAGGUUUUUUAUUUUGUAUGCACAGAGGUGUUUGUAAUCGUGUCUGAGGCUUUUUUUUUUUCUCCUGUGGGAACAAAUUUCUGGUUUCAUUUAUCUUUUGUAUGAUGAUAGGAUCAAAUCCACACAUAUUAUUAUUAACCUUGAACAUAAAUGGGCUAAAUACCAUACUUAAAAGACACAUAGUGGCAAGUUGGAUAAAGAAGCAAGACCCAACUCUAUGUCUUCAAGAGACCCAUCUCACAUUCAAGGACACACAUAGCCUCAAA